CCACAGCACUAACACUGGUGGAAAUGAUAAGUUGCAGCCUGAAAUGGUGAUUGAGCACCUGGUGGGAAGGCAGGGCCAACCCAGGGGAGCACAGGUGUAUGCAGUGCACCUGAAUGACUGGAAGAGUAGGAGCCAGGGUCCACCCCUUCUCAGACCUCAUUUAAGCAUUGGUAGUUGAGGCAGUGCUAUCUUACUGGAGAUCCCAGCCCACCUGAGGUCUUCCAAAGAUCCCUAUAGGUCCUGUAGGCACAGAGCAUCGUGCGUAUAUGCUUCUCCAUACAUAACCUGCUCCGAAAGGGUCUCAGAAGGGAAAAUACUUUGGUCUGGGAUCAGCCCUGGUUGCCAAUGAGGACUCAUCGAAACACCACGAGGCUGGGCCCGUCAGGAAGGAAACCAGCGCGUCCAGAGU